CGGGCUGUUUGGGAGGUGGAGAAACGGACGGUAAUAAAGUAGAAACGUGCAAAAACUAGAAAAAUGUGGUCGGAGCAAAUAAUAGAGAGAACUUAGCAGAAAAAUGCACAAAGUGGGUGGAGUACCAUAAAGAGGAGAAAACCCCCAAAGUGGAACAAAAAAGAAAACUGAAAUUCGACUAUGAGCAAGUUUUGGCUACGUGCAAUUCCUGCUCUCAGGUCACUUUUGCGGCAUGUCAAAGGUUGAGGGGAUGGGGCUGGUAUUUUGUGGAGGGGUGGGCGGUGGGCGUUAUAUGUGGCUUGUAGCUUUUGGCCAUAAACUUUCGCCUGUUGAAGCGCAAAGCAACAGAACAGGACACCCACCAGGGUUAGUCGUGUGCGGAAAGUGGAGAUUGCUGGCUGAGAGCUACGGGUGGAUUAGUGCAAAAAUAUCUUCCCCUUUGGUUCUAUAAUUCUUGGCCAACAUUUAGCAUACUUCCGGUUUUGUGCAGAUGGGUAUUUAAGUAUUUCUCCACCCUUUACCGCACGCAGACACCCUGUUUGGAGAGAUAGAUCUCUUUGGGCCUUCGCUUCAGUUUCAGUCAAGUAUGUCAGUUAAACAGUGCCAAGUGUUCUCACUCUUACCACUUGCCACUCAGUGUUGCCUACUUUUGUGCGCAGCGCUGUCUCGCUUCGCCGCUUCGACUGUCAGGAUACAAAGCAAAUUCCCAAUGCAACGACUGCAUUAUGAUUGUCACUUCAAAUCCUUGAAAUGCUGAUUGAAUGGACGGCAAUUCGCUCGGAAAAGCCAGUCGGCGGGAAUGGGGAGGGGGGCCGGUGCCGAGUUGGUGGAUACCGAGCACUCGAAUGCUGACGCAUAGCAUCAAACAUGGAGUGCAGCUGAACGUCACGCACUUGGCUGUCGCCGUUUUUAUGCUGCCAAUAAUUCAAACUGCUGUGCGAAUGCAAAAAUGACAAGCCAAGUUCUCGACUUUCAAGUGGAAUCGCGGAAUCGAUGCGCAGAAGCACUCAGGAGAUAACGACUGGCGACACAAACGACCGGAGCACAUCUACAUAGCAGAGCCCACUCCUCCACUGGUCUGUGGCAUAAUAAAUGAACUCCUAUUCCCCAGUCACGUCAUUUAAUAAUGCAAUCCCAGCCGAGAGCUGAGUGGGCUCGCAAGGCUGUACAAUUAAUUUAUCAUCAUAAAAUUACGCAAUAAAUUUUGAAAUGAAAAUGCCUUGACCGCUGUCAAAAGUUUCCGGCUUGAACUAGCUAAAUAAUUCAUUUCGCUACACAAAGGAAGUGCACAGGAAGAAACUGUAUUCUACAUAGUACUACCAAUAUUAUUUUAUUUAUAAAAAUUAAGAGUGCAGAAGAAGUUUUUCCUUAGAAACUUUCAAUGACCUAUUUUUCUAUAAAAAUUGGAAAUUAUCAGCAUAAUCAAUAUUUUCCGGCAUUUCCUUUCGGUGUGCUGUAAGUCGAAAAGGCCACCAAUUUCGACCAUCAAAAUAUUUAAGAAAGUUUACGUUAUGAAUAGAAGGCCGAAAAUAGGUUGCUAGCGAAUAGCAACAGCAGAAUGUCGAAGGAGCUGGCAGAUGAAGUUGAGUCUGCCCAUCUGCGUCAGACACGAAAAGUUCCUAAUUGAAUUCCAUGGAAAGUAGUAAGAAUCUCGUUAUGAAUGGCCAACUCAAAUUACUUGUAUCAGUUGAAGGAACUGGCUUAAAAUGCUUAAUGAUUCCAACUUUUGUCUUGGCCAAAUUGUGUUUUAAAAUGUGUUUAUAAAAUUACGACAACGAGUGAAAUCAAUUGAAGGAAACUUUUAUCAACUUCAUUUGCAGUGUCGUUUGCCUAAUUAAAGUCAACUUAGUUUUCGUUUUGGAAAGUAAUGGCAGACGAGGAGGUGAUUGGUGACUACAACGUAAAGCAAACAAAGUCAGUUGCAGGAAAUGUAGUUUUCUUAUUUUCCCCGGCAAUUCGCAUGUCAAUCAUGAUUUGCACAGAGAAGUUGGCUCAGUUGGCUCAAAAAAAAAAAUGUAAAAAAAAAACUAAGGGCAGCAGUAAGUGUAUAAAGGUAAAGUGAAACUGUUAACUCCAUAGCACCCGUAGCACGUUUUUCAUUUAUGCGCAUGGUGGCCAAAAAAGGGCAACUGACACUCCCAGUUGACAUGCAUUGAAAUAGAAGUAAGUUGCCCAAGUCCCAAGUCCCAAGUCCUCCUGCUAGCAAUUGGCACUCUGGCAGGGAAAGUUUGACAAGGUGUUGACACGACACCUGCUCGAGUACAGUUUAUACACUUUAUACAGUCGAAUGAAAAGCGAUCUGAAUAUACAUAUAAGUUGGGCUACAAUUUAUGGCCACUUAAUUUGACUGAAUUUUGCGAUUCAUUAGUUGAUGCGCCGCAACCAAGUGAAACUGCUAAUUCCCAUUUCGAAAUUGAUUUGAUGUAAUUAAAUUUCAAUUUGCAAGGCAUUCAGCUGGAAAACACAUACAUAACUAACUAACUAAUUUGACGCUCACCUGGUGUCCAAUGUAUAAUAUUUAAUGAAACGAAUUAUUGACACCUUAAUCGAUGCUAAUUAUAAACAUUUGUCCUCAAACAAAGCCAGAACAUGGACAAUUUGAAAUGGCGGUGCCAUGAAAGUUUAGCUAACCAACACAUUAUGCAUGAGCGGGAAAUUAAACUCUAAUGUUAUAUGCAUUAUUUUACGCUUAUUUGCAUUUCGAUUAUUCUCGGUUCCAUAACAAUAACGAAUAGGUGUGGUAAGAGGAGCACUUCAAAGGCUUAAUUCGGUUAGAACGCUUGCCACCUCCGGUCCUGAUUGACUCGCCUGCCUGUUGGCUGUCAAGGCAUUCUCAGCUUGAAACCAUUAUUUUGAUAAAUAAUUUAAUAUUGUUUCAUUAUACGGCGCAACUUGCCAUGUAAAUGCAUUGUGGCUUCUGCUCCGGCUGCUGCUGUUGCUGCUGCUGCUCUUGGCAUUCUGGUUCCUGCUGCCGACAUCAAAAUGCAAUUGACUUUUCACUAUAUUGCAACUUUGAGGUUUUAUCGGAGUAUGGGUGUGUGUGUGUGCGGCACCAUGGGUGUUGAUUACAGCAGCCACCACUACUACUAACACCACUACUACUGCACAUUGCAGCCCUACGACCUCGAGUGCGUGUCUGCAUUUCCGCUGACGUAGCCUUGUUGCCAAUUUGGCAACACGACCACAGCUGCCAGCGACAAUUUGAGGCAAGCAGCACUAGCUGGAGUGGAGUCUGUUGUUCCGACUGUUUUGUCUUCAAAUUUGGUAGCAAUUCAACCCAAACUUUGCCAGUGACUUGGAUGCGGUGUCUGCUGGCUGUGGACCACAACACUUUGGCUUAAUUUACCGGAAACUUUUCCGCAGAGCAUCUCACAUAUGAAACUUUUCCAUUUUCAUUCCGCUUUCCACUCGCGCGCGCUUUCUUCCUGCAGGCACAUAAAUUAGACUCGUCUAUUUUCAGCAGCUGUCAAUUGACAUUUUUCCCGCAAAAUGAAGCCAUUUAGGCAAGUCGAGGGCAAGCCAAUUCUCUUGGGCGAAAAGUCAUAAACCUUCGGCUCCGCUGGCUGUGCAGCAUAAUCGUUAUUUAUGUGAGCGCGUGAAAUGUAUAAAAAUGUUGCCUUUAACAGGCCAUAAAAUUCCACAGUGCGACGCGAUAUGGCGACCCGUUUUUCCGCUCUUCGUUCGCUGAACUGCCCCAUUUUGUGCAGCAGGCCAACGUGGCGUAUGCGUAACGUUGCAUAAUGCAAAGGUCGCAUUGGAUAUGAUUGGAUUUUUGUUCGGUAUUUAAAAAGCAUUGAACUUAUGGCGUACGCCAGCAGCGGCAAAUGGCAGUAGCUAAAUGCAACACUCGAAAAAAUAGAUUAUAUGUAGAUAUCCUUAUAUGUAGAUUAGCCUUUGAAAUAAGAACACUCAAAUGAUCGAAGGUGCAGGAUUUUUACAUUAAAAAAUAUAAAAAUAUUUGGUUUAUUUACAAAACUAUUCAAGGUAAUAACUUUCUCCUGUUGUUUGCAUGUUACUGCAUUUUUGUCGCUAUUUUUUUUGCAGUGCAUAAGCAGCAUCCAUAGCUUUGGCAUGGAUUCCCUUGCACACAAACACCGCUGCUGUUUUUGAUAUUCUUGCUCCUGUUUAGCAACAUUUAUCGUCGUUUUGACAUAAACACACAUACGCACUCACACACAGGGAUAAUGGGCGGGGUAGUUAGGGUGCAGGAGGGGAAAGAUAGAGGGGAAGCGGGAGUGGGAGCGGGAUGGGAACGACAGGCAACACAUGCUUGGCAGCCAUUUUCACAUUAUUUUGUAAACAAUUUUAAGUUGAAUGGAAAAUGUUUAUGUUUUGCCAGCGCCAUCCCAUGCUGCACCCUAUUUAACUUGUACUUUAACCAUUUGCAGUCGCCGAGCUGAAAUUCAGCUUUUUAUUUUUCUUUCGCCGUGUGCGCGUCUGCUUAGGGUUUUUUAGCAUGCGUUAUUAAAUUUAUUGGACUUGACAGGAGCGGCCCUAUAAAGAAUACAAAUGUGUACGUGCAACCGCACACGGCGUCAUAAAAAUUAUAUACAUUUUUUCACAUUGUUUAUUGUGAUUGUAGAAUAACUCAACUCUUUGCCGCCAUCAGCGGCUCACUUUUGUUGGUGUGCAAACAUUUACACUGCUUUUCAUUAUGCCAAAGCACACCCACACAGCCAUGUUUAUGCAAAUGUUUGCUAAAUAGUUUACAUCUUCGUGUCCUGUGUGCAUGUGUGCCAGUGUGCGUGUGUGCGUGUGUGCGUGCGUGCGUUAGUUCACUGUGUUGGUUGGUCUCGUAUCAAGCUUGGCAUGAAGCCCUGGGCAUAUUUGCAUAAAUUACCACAGAAUGACAGAAAACAAUGGAGCACCACCGCUGAGCACUGGACAAGGGCAUAUAUUGGUUUCCUAAUACAGUGAAGACUGCUUGGAAAGAACGUCUCUUUUUACCACUUUAGAUCUGCGUGAGAAUGUUGUCCAUAAGUUUGCACUGAAAAUUCAAGUUCGCUGUGGAAAGAAAGCACUUAACCCUUUAGCACAACGAAGCAGAGUUUUUUUGGGUGUAGAUAAUUUGGUUCUCCUAUAUCCUUCUGUGCGUUCCCGAUCCUUUAGACGCCAUCCUUGUGGCACGGACAGUUACCGACAACCCACGAAUGCGUAAUAUUGAAGUGGAUUGAUUGAUCUGGCACAUGCGCCAACAGCACUUGUACGCUUUUGCUUGAAAAUAAAUUUGAUUUUUUCCACACUCCGGCUGCCUGUUUUUGACAUGGGCUCCAAUUAAAGUAACGUGCCACGCCUCGUAGCACGAUUAUUGAUUGGUCGUUGGUUGGUGGUCGUUGGACUAGCUGCACUCACUGGCGGAGAGCUAACGCUUUCUGCUGGGAUGUCAUGCCCUAUAUUAUAGAAUUCAGUGCUCCUUCGGAUGACGCCUCUGUUGACCAGGACAUUAUUGUUGCAUACUUUUUAGCAUGCGCUUAAUUACAUGGCAUUAACAAUGUGUGCUUGUGUUAGUUUGUUUGUGUGAAAAUUAUGCGCGUUAGUAGCGUUUUACAUGCUGUACUGUUUUUCUCGUCUCUCCCGUUUUUCCCAUUUUUUCCCGCUUCUCCCUCAAAGGCAGCUCAUAUUAAUUGAACAAUUUUUUAGCAUAUUUUUUUGCUCGUUUUUGCGAUUACUAUCGUCGGACAUUUUGACUCGUUUUUUUCUUUUUCUGCCACUGACCGCUGAAUGCGGGCUGCUUAUUAGGAGCCGCCCCGUGGCGGGGUCUGCGUGUUUAUAAUUCACACUUCUGUUGAAUGGCAUUCGGGGAGUGCAUUGCGCAAUGCAAUUUCUCGCUGGCAAUCGGUUGUGGACAUGGCCGUCGUUCCAGAUGGCUACUUCCGCCGUGAGCCGGGGUUAGUGGCGAAAUGAAGUCAUUACCUGUAGUUAUGGCAUGACAGACUUUAGUUGUCGUAAAUAGCAACCUUAGUCAACGCCUCAGCCAUCAGCCAACUUCUCCGUUUCGGGCCAAUUAUAACAUUAGGGCCACAGUAGCUGCUGGAAUGUGUGGCGAAUAGCUCAUAUAAUUCAGCGGCCUUUGCGUGUCUUUAGUCGUAUCGCAGAUUUUUGUUUCAUUUCGCCAUUCUAUUUUCGCCCCACGUGUUGACACUUGCCAAGUGGCAGAGCCCGCGGCCAUUUCACAGGGCCAUUGUGCAGCCGCAUUUGGAGCCAUUGUUGUGGAUUCCACCCACAUCUCAGCUCGUUAGGCCCAGCACUCUCAGCACAAUCACAAGGACACUGGAAAAAAGUUGAUAGAAAUCCCAUUUUAGAUUCGCAUAUCAUUCACGUGUGAAUUUAAUCAAU
rnacentral:sRNA from 1 species